GACAUUGCUAGAGCAGCUCACAGAACUCAGAGGAAUUAUUUGUGUUUACACAUUUAUUACAAAGCAUGUUACAACAGAUACAGAAAAGCAGCCAGAUGGAAGAGAUGCCUAGAGCAAGAUGCUUCUGACAGGGGCACUACUUGGAGCUGAUCUCACUCACCAAGUCCUGAGCAAGAAGAAAUUUCACCUUCUCUUCUGAUCCAAAGAUCAAAGCCUGUGAGGCCCUCACUCCUCAAGGAUGAUGAGGGGAAAGAAGUCCCUGGAAUCGGGGCCCCUGAAAGCACUGCCAUGGCAGUGCUUGGCAAUGGCAUUGUCUGUCUGGGAGAGCUGGUGGUAGUCGUGAAGUCAGACAGAUGUGAGCGUUGGAUUGCCUUCAGGGGCAGCCCAUAUCCUUGAUCUCCAUAAGGAGAGGAAAGAGCUGUCACUAGAGAUAUUCGGUUUCCUGUUUAUCUGGGGACAGCUUGAUUUGCAACUCAUUUACAUCCAUUUGUGCGCUGCAUCUUGAAGGUCCAAACUCUGAGUGUCUGAGAUAAAAUGAAAUUGUACAACCUGCUACAACUGGAU
rnacentral:lncRNA from 1 species